CCAUAAUCAUCUUCACUGACAUUUUUGGUGACCAACAAAAGAUAUUGAUCCUACCCAUCAUCACAUUUGGCCUUCACCGCAUAAACCCGGGUAGCGUGGACAACGACAGUAAUUAAUGCGGAGGAGGCGACGGAGCUGGUCCGAGAAAGACAGGAUUGGCCUAACUACAAAUCGGUCCAAUCUAAGGGCAGUCCCAACACUCCACCUCAGCUAAUAUCGAUAGAAUUUAUUACGGUGCCACAUAAGAAAAAAUUAAGGAAGAGAUUGGGGAAAAAGCAGAGAAAGGAUGUCUCAUGCACGAAACUAGAUCGGCGCAGUUACCAAGACUCAGGAAACGAGUUAUAUCUGCGUUGGAGCAGCUCAUCGUUUCUUCCAUCCAAAUCUCACUCCGCCUCCCGAUCCGUUGUGCCCGUCCCCUCCCGCCACCAUGGCCGCGCUCCAUCCGCGGGCCAAAUCUCAUUCCCGCGCGCCAGCUUAUUCUACCACGGGCUAAAUCUCCGUGAAAUUUCGGCGCGUCCCCAAAUCUCAGAGCGCCAAGGUUUUGGUUGUCGUCCUUCUCAUCCCCAAUCAAAUUUUGUUGGCAGCUAAAUCGCCCAAAUCCAUCCGCAAUCGCUCAACCGAGAUCCAAUCGAGCUGCAAGGUGAAUCCUCCACCCUUGCUGCAAUUGCUGUUGGUGCUCCAGAUUCAAGUUCUAUUGAUGGUGGUGCUUCUCGAGUUGGCGGUCCAGUUGCCGGUUUUCCAUGGUGAACAGAAUCAUCUCCUAGCAGGGCAGACCUAUAAAUUGCUUAUUUUACUCCGUAGAAACCGAUGUUAAUCAGUAUCAUUAGUUAAUUAGUAGGUAAUAUUGGACUGGGAUUUUUUUUUUCACUUCAACGAACUCCAGCUUGUCUACUGAUGCGUUACUGCUAGAUCAUUGAUCCAUUCCCUUUGUUUAUUUGUAUGGUUACCUAUAUUAUAGUUGUGUGAUUGAUCUAAUUUGGUACUAUAUCACUCUGUUCUUAUGUUGAUCAAUCGUUGUGCCAUUUUGAUAUGAUGCGGGAUUCCAGUUUGCUACAUGGCUAUACGGCCACGACAUAUCCU
rnacentral:lncRNA from 1 species